rnacentral:misc_RNA from 1 species
UUGAAAUCCUUUAGGAUGUUGCUGGCCUUUCGAGGCAAUGUGCACUCCGCCUUUUUCAAUUCACCUGUGAACUUAUUGUAGGCUGGGAUCGUUAACUCGAUCCUAUGUCUAUGUUUUUUAUAUAUACCCCUAUAAAAAUGUAACAGAAUGUCUUGAUGAUUGGAAUAAAUUAUUAUA